GACGAACGCGUGGCGGCGUGGAUUAGGCAUGCAAGUCGAACGGUAUCAUCCUUCGGGGGUGAGAGAGUGGCGAACUGGUGAGUAACACGUAGGUUAUCUACCCUCAAGACGGGGACAACCCAGGGAAACUUGGGCUAAUACCGGAUGUGAGCAACUUUUAGUUGUUUGAAAGGUGGCGUAAGCUGUCGCUUGGGGAUGAGCCUGCGUCCUAUUAGUUAGUUGGUGAGGUAACGGCUCACCUAGGCAAUGAUAGGUAGGCGGCCUUAACGGGUGGUCGCCCACACUGGGAUUGAGAUACGGCCCAGACUCCUACGGGAGGCAGCAGUCGAGAAUAGUCUACAAUGGUCGGAAGACUGAUAGUGCGACGCCGCGUGAACGAUGAAUCCCUUCGGGGUGUAAAGUUCUUUUAUAUGUGAGCAGUGCUUCUUAUAUUAACAGUAUGGGGAGAGAGAUAUUAGCAUAUGAAUAAGCAACGGCUAACUCCGUG
rnacentral:rRNA from 1 species